AACGAACGCUGGCGGCAGGCUUAACACAUGCAAGUCGAACGCCCCGCAAGGGGAGUGGCAGACGGGUGAGUAACGCGUGGGAACGUGCCCUUCGCUUCGGAAUAGCCUCGGGAAACUGGGAGUAAUACCGAAUACGCCGUAUUGGGAAAGAUUUAUCGGCGAAGGAUCGGCCCGCGUUAGAUUAGGUAGUUGGCGGUGUAAUGGACCACCAAGCCUACGAUCUAUAGCUGGUCUGAGAGGAUGAUCAGCCACACUGGGACUGAGACACGGCCCAGACUCCUACGGGAGGCAGCAGUGGGGAAUCUUGGACAAUGGGCGCAAGCCUGAUCCAGCCAUGCCGCGUGAGUGAAGAAGGCCUUAGGGUUGUAAAACUCUUUCGCCGGAGAAGAUAAUGACGGUAUCCGGAGAAGAAGCCCCGGCUAACUUCGUGCCAGCCGCCGCAGUAAGAC
rnacentral:rRNA from 1 species